UUCGAACAUUUCCAAUUCUAUUUUUUUUAGUUUUCGCAAAGUUUUAAAUAGCCGGCUAUAGCCCAACUAUAGCGGGGCUAUAGCUGUUUGAGCAGGUGCCGCUAUGUGGCAUAGCCCGCUAAAUUUGCGAAAUAGCCCGCUAUUUUGCAUAGCCCGCUAUUUUAAACACUUUGUCGCUGAGCUAGAGUUACAUCUAGCAGCACCUCAAUUUUUUCAUGUACAUAAGUUAGUAGCUGAUGUAAUUCUAGCAGCACCUCAGUUGUCGCUAAGCUCUUCUGUACAACCUGAAACAAAGGAAAUCCUAUGUACAAGCUGAAACAAAGCAAAUAAACUACAGGAUGGAGGCUAUAGAAUAUAUAUACGACUUGAUGGAAAUCCUUAAAAUAAUUUUUUUGGUUAUGCUCCAUAGCAACAUCCUCUUUCAGGUGCUUCCCUGGAACAAAAAGAAGAACAAACAAUUAUGAUCGAGCAAUUUGUUCCCUGAUCCAGAAAGAAAAAUAAACAGUGGAUUAACUACUAAU
rnacentral:lncRNA from 1 species